rnacentral:tRNA from 1 species
GGCCCCGUAGCUCAGUUGGAUAGAGCAACAGCCUUCUAAGCUGUGGGUCGCACGUUCGAUUCGGGCCGGGGUCA